CAGCUCCGUGAUCAUGUGCUGUCGAGUCAAUCCUUGGGGAAAAGAGGAGCUGAAAAAAUAUUUGGGAGCUAUCACAGGAGGUGUCUUCUGAGCCGCUGUGGAGUGGAUGGAGAUGACGAAGGCCGUCGUGGACACUGAUUUGUAGCAGGGGAGAUGCGAACAUGGUGAAAUUAUGAUGGAGGGAAGAUGGUGACGGUGAAUAUAAGCUGUACUUAGAUCCAGAAAGAGAAAAAUAGAUUAAAAAACAAAGCUUUCCCCCAGAUCAAGGGGCAGGUUCAGGGACCGUGCGCCACAACAACUGAGCCUGUGCUCUAGAGCCCGCGAGCCACAGCUACUGAAGCCCGUGUACCUAGAGCCUGUGCUCCGCAACAAGAGAAGCCACCGCCAUGAGAAGCCCGCGCACCGCAACGAAGAGCAGCCCCCGCUCGCCGCAACUAGAGAAAGCCCGCGUGCAGCAAUGAAGA